rnacentral:rRNA from 2 species
AGUGAGAGUUUGAUCCUGGCUCAGAGUGAACGCUGGCGGUAGGCCUAACACAUGCAAGUCGAACGGCAGCACAGGAGAGCUUGCUCUCUGGGUGGCGAGUGGCGGACGGGUGAGGAAUACAUCGGAAUCUACUUUUUCGUGGGGGAUAACGUAGGGAAACUUACGCUAAUACCGCAUACGACCUACGGGUGAAAGCAGGGGAUCUUCGGACCUUGCGCGAUUGAAUGAGCCGAUGUCGGAUUAGCUAGUUGGCGGGGUAAAGGCCCACCAAGGCGACGAUCCGUAGCUGGUCUGAGAGGAUGAUCAGCCACACUGGAACUGAGACACGGUCCAGACUCCUACGGGAGGCAGCAGUGGGGAAUAUUGGACAAUGGGCGCAAGCCUGAUCCAGCCAUACCGCGUGGGUGAAGAAGGCCUUCGGGUUGUAAAGCCCUUUUGUUGGGAAAGAAAUCCAGCUGGCUAAUACCCGGUUGGGAUGACGGUACCCAAAGAAUAAGCACCGGCUAACUUCGUGCCAGCAGCCGCGGUAAUACGAAGGGUGCAAGCGUUACUCGGAAUUACUGGGCGUAAAGCGUGCGUAGGUGGUCGUUUAAGUCCGUUGUGAAAGCCCUGGGCUCAACCUGGGAACUGCAGUGGAUACUGGGCGACUAGAAUGUGGUAGAGGGUAGCGGAAUUCCUGGUGUAGCAGUGAAAUGCGUAGAGAUCAGGAGGAACAUCCAUGGCGAAGGCANCUACCUGGACCAACAUUGACACUGAGGCACAAAAG